UGGGGAAUUUUGGACAAUGGGCGAAAGCCUGAUCCAGCCAUGCCGCGUGCAGGAUGAAGGCCUUCGGGUUGUAAACUGCUUUUGUACGGAACGAAAAGCCUCUUUCUAAUAAAGAGGGGUCAUGACGGUACCGUAAGAAUAAGCACCGGCUAACUACGUGCCAGCAGCCGCGGUAAUACGUAGGGUGCAAGCGUUAAUCGGAAUUACUGGGCGUAAAGCGUGCGCAGGCGGUUUUGUAAGACAGAGGGGAAAUCCCCGGGCUCAACCUGGGAACUGCCUUUGUGACUGCAAGGCUGGAGUGCGGCAGAGGGGGAUGGAAUUCCGCGUGUAGCAGUGAAAUGCGUAGAUAUGCGGAGGAACACCGAUGGCGAAGGCAAUCCCCUGGGCCUGCACUGACGCUCAUGCACGAAAGCGUGGGGAGCAAACA
rnacentral:rRNA from 1 species